CAGUAGCCGCGGUAAUACGGAGGGAGCUAGCGUUGUUCGGAAUUACUGGGCGUAAAGCGCGCGUAGGCGGUUACUCAAGUCAGAGGUGGAAGCCCGGGGCUCAACCCCGGAACUGCCUUUGAAACUAGGUGACUAGAAUCUUGGAGAGGUCAGUGGAAUUCCGAGUGUAGAGGUGAAAUUCGUAGAUAUUCGGAAGAACACCAGUGGCGAAGGCGACUGACUGGACAAGUAUUGACGCUGAGGUGCGAAAGCGUGGGGAGCAAACAGGAUUAGAUACCCCGGUAGUCCCUGUCUCUUAUAC
rnacentral:rRNA from 1 species